ensembl:misc_RNA 7SK 7SK RNA
AGAUGUGAGGACACCCUGGCUGUGAUAUCUGUCACCCUGCUGGUCACCAGGAUCCAUUCAGCUGAGCUGGCUGGGCGAUGUUCUCUUCCUCCCUCACCACUUCACAUGGUGUAUUUGUUCUGCAGAAGAGAAAGACCACCCCUGAUAGAAAAGGACCCUUUCCUUGGAUGAGUAUAGCUCUGCUGCCCUGUUGGAACCUCCAAACCAACUCCCCCAAAAGAUGAUCUGUCUCACAGAAGGUUUGAUGUGGAUGUUUACAGGUCAAUGAAUACAUUACUUCUCAUAUUUCUUUUCUGUCCUUCCCUUCCCCAGACACAGGAGAGGAGA